rnacentral:tRNA from 1 species
AUUCGUGUGGUGAAAUUGGUAAACACAGAAAACUCAAAAUUUUCCGUUUUAAUACUUACCGGUUCGAGUCCGGUCACGAAUA